rnacentral:lncRNA from 1 species
CCAGUGAAGAGAGAAGCCAACGCGCCAAGAAACUGGCAUCGAAGCGAAGCCCUCCCUUCCUUCCCCCCACCCACCCAGCCCCCACCUACCUUGGCAUGGACGUGGCCCGGCCGCGGGGGGUCGUCCAGCUGCAGGCGCGGGACGCUGGAGGGGGGAGGCGUGGAGGCGACAGACAGACUGACGGCGGCGGCUGGCUUGGCUGAAAGGCCACCUCCUCCAGGAAGGCUUCUCAGAGGGCCCCCAGGUGAAACAGAUGCCUCUAUCCGGCUGCAAAGGCUUCAUUCUCACCACUUUCCAGGACCCUGUCACACCAGUUCCCCCAAUCCCACGCUCCUGAGGCCUGUCUCCCUUCCUCUCUCACCCAAGGGCUGUGGAUUGGGGAGAGGGAGUGUUCAAGGUUAUAACCCCCUUUUAUUUGUUCAUUUGCAUCCAGCCAAACAAAUUAAAAGCACCAAGACUCUCCCCAAUGCAGGCCAAAUGGUCUACUCACUGCCUCACAACUCAGGAAGCAUUUAGUGAACACCUGCUGUGUGCUAGGCACUUCUUUAAACUGCCUGGAGUUCCACCCUUUUGCCCCCAUUUUACCGAUGAAGAAACUGAGGCCAGAGAUGAGCUGCCUGGUCAAGGUUACUCCGCUGGGAAGCAGCAGCCCCCAGUACGAGUCCAG